rnacentral:rRNA from 1 species
AUUGAACGCUGGCGGCAUGCCUUACACAUGCAAGUCGAACGGCAGCACGGACUUCGGUCUGGUGGCGAGUGGCGAACGGGUGAGUAAUACAUCGGAACGUGCCCAGUAAUGGGGGAUAACGCAGCGAAAGUUGUGCUAAUACCGCAUACGCCCUGAGGGGGAAAGUGGGGGAUCGCAAGACCUCAUGUUAUUGGAGCGGCCGAUGGCUGAUUAGCUAGUUGGUGAGGUAAAGGCUCACCAAGGCGACGAUCAGUAGCUGGUCUGAGAGGACGACAGGCAAACGGGGAACGAGAACAGGGCCGAGACCCCGAGGGGAGGCAGCGGUGGGGAAUGUGGGAAAAGGGGCAAAAGCCGAACACAGAAGGGCCGCGGGGGCGAAGAAGGCCUUGGGGUUGAAAAGAACUUUUGUCAGGAAAGAAAACUGUUGGGCUAAUACCCGAAUGGGAUGACGGUACCUGAAGAAAAAGCACUGGCUAACUACGGGCAAGCCGCCGCGGAAA